rnacentral:lncRNA from 1 species
UGAGUUUCUAGGCACAGGCUCUUCUUAUGUGCUUGGCAUUUUUAAAGCAAUCCCAUUUGAAAUGCAACCGAAAUUGUAAGCCUCGUUUAAACUGAUUCUUUUCUUCCCACACAACCUAAGACAACGUGUCUGAUGAUGUCGUUCAGACUUUCCAACUACAAAUAACCUUUCGUUCAAGCCCAAGAACAUGAUGGACGGGAAGGAAAAUUUCUUGUGAAACCUCUGCGCUCACCGUGGUUUGAGAGGAAAUGUCUUGGCUGUGACAGCAUCAUGGUCGAUUCUCACACCCAGAGAAAGGAAACACCGACUUUAACCUCAAAACGAGGAAGAUCAUAAUAGUGAAAAGAAAAAAAAAAUAGACAAAAAACGUCUACCCCAGAAAUCCCUAACCGCUGCCCAGCCUGGGAACGUGUUGGGAAUUUUUCCAAGGAAAGAGACCUCAAGGACAACCUCAGGAUGGCUGAGAGCUUGGGAUAACAGAGAGAGAACCCAUGAGGCAGCCACGGGAGGAAGGCAGAUGCCAGGCAAGACGAGGGUGGCAGAAGCGAGUCAGGAGGAAGUGGCUUUGUGAGCCAUCGACCUCACAGAGGGGGAGAAGCAGAAACGUAACCAAGCAAGGUGCAGAGCUAUUUUCAGCCUUGGGGUUUUCACCCCAGGGUCCCCAAAGUGCUUGGGGCAGAGUACAGCUCCCCUUUGAGAAAGUCGGUGCUCUGGACUGAUGAAAAGGACAAAAGAGAAGCCAGUUUUGAGAAGUCAAAGUGUGGGCAGAACGGUUCCUUUCUGGAGGCUUUAGGGGAGAAUCUGUUUCCUCGCUUCUCCAGCCUUUAGAGGCCACCUGCAGUCCCUGGCUCACGGCCAUCUUCAAAGCCAGCGGUCGCAUCGCCCUGACCUCCGCCUCCAUCAACCAUCUCCUUGCUGACCCUGACCCUCCUGCCUCCCUCUCACAACGACUCCUGCGAUGACGUGGGGCUGUGAAAGGAAAAAUCUCUUGGGUCCCUUCAAGCUGGGAACUGCUCAGGGCAAAACUCCCUCCCAUUCUAUUCAAACUCAUCCCUCUGCUCACUGAGAUAGAUGCAUAUUCUGAUUGCCUCGCUUACCAGAAACUCAAAAGAAUGCAACCGGUUGUCUCUAAACUCAAAAGAAUGCAACCAGUUGUCUCACCUACCUGUGACCUGGAAACCCCUUUCCUGCUUGGAGCUGUCCCCGUCUUUCUGGAUGGAACCAGUGUACUUCUUACAUGUAUUGAUUGAUGUCUCAUGUCUCCCUAAAAUGUAUAAAACCAGGCUGUGCCCCGACCACCUUGGGCACAUGUCGUCAGGACUUCCCGAGGUCGUGUCACGGAUGCGCAUCCUUAACUUUGUCGAAUAAACCUCAUAAAGUGA